GGGGUAUCGACCCCCCUUGUGCCGCAGCUAACGCAUUAAGUAUCCCGCCUGGGGAGUACGGCCGCAAGGUUGAAACUCAAAUGAAUUGACGGGGACCCGCACAAGCGGUGGAGCAUGUGGAUUAAUUCGAUACUAACCGAAGAACCUUACCCAGGUUUGACAUCGAUCGUAAGCUCUAGAGAUAGGGCCCUCCCCCACAAGGGGACGUGAAGACACUUGUUGCAUGGCUGUCGUCAGCUCGUGCCGUGAGGUGUACGGUUAAGUCCGCCAACGAGCGCAACCCUCGUCCUGUGUUACCAGCGAGUAAAGUCGGGGACUCACAGGAGACCGCCGGUGUAAGCCGGAGGAAGGUGAGGAUGACGUCAAGUCAGCAUGGCAGUUACGCCUGGGGCUUCACACAUGCUACAAUGGGCGAAACAAAGGGCAGCAAUACCGCGAGGUGGAGCAAAUCCCAAAAAUACGCCCCCAGUUCAGAUUACAGUCUGCAACUCGACUGUAUGAAGGCGGAAUCGCUAGUAAACGCAGGUCAGCUAUACUGCGUUGAAUACGUUCCCGGGCCUUGUACACACCGCC
rnacentral:rRNA from 1 species